AGCGAACGUUUGCGGCGGGCUUAACACAUGCAAGUCGAACGGGCUGUUCCUUCGGGGGCAGUCAGUGGCGCACGGGUGCGUAACACGUAGGUAAUCAACCCUCUGGUUGGGGAUAACACUUCGAAAGGAGUGCUAAUACCCGGUAUGGCGCAGCGGUCUUCGGAUCGCGGCGAGAAAGACCCGCAAGGGUUGCCAGAGGACGAGCCUGCGGUCCAUCAGCUAGUUGGCGAGGUAACGGCUCACCAAGGCGAAGACGGGUAGCUGGUCUGAGAGGAUGAUCAGCCACACUGGAACUGAGACACGGUCCAGACUCCUACGGGAGGCAGCAGUGGGGAAUAUUGCGCAAUGGGCGAAAGCCUGACGCAGCCACGCCGCGUGAGCGAUGAAGGCCU
rnacentral:rRNA from 1 species